rnacentral:rRNA from 1 species
AUUGAACGCUGGCGGCAUGCCUUACACAUGCAAGUCGAACGGCAGCACGGGAGCAAUCCUGGUGGCGAGUGGCGAACGGGUGAGUAAUACAUCGGAACGUGCCCAGUAGUGGGGGAUAGCCCGGCGAAAGCCGGAUUAAUACCGCAUACGACCUACGGGUGAAAGCGGGGGAUCGCAAGACUUCGCGCUAUUGGAGCGGCCGAUGGCAGAUUAGCUUGUUGGUGGGGUAAAAGCCUACCAAGGCGACGAUCUGUAGCUGGUCUGAGAGGACGACCAGCAACACUGGGACUGAGACACGGCCCAGACUCCUACGGGAGGCAGCAGUGGGGAAUUUUGGACAAUGGGCGCAAGCCUGAUCCAGCCAUGCCGCGUGCGGGAAGAAGGCCUUCGGGUUGUAAACCGCUUUUGUCAGGGAAGAAACGGUCUAAUCUAAUAAAUUGGACUAAUGACGGUACCUGAAGAAUAAGCACCGGCUAACUACGUGCCAGCCGCCGCCGUAA